AUACUGUAUAUUUAUAUAUACUUAGGAUUUAUGAAAUUAUAUAAAUAACAAUCACACAACCAUAUUCAUACAAAAACCAAAUAAUGACCAAAAAUCACCAUGAAUAUUUUUAAAUAUGCCUGCUACAAAUUGGUUUAUUGGUCACAACAAGAAGCAUAUGCAUAUAACAUUUGACAUGAAUAAAAGCAGCAAUUUGUCAGAUGUAACUAGUACUGAUCAACAAAUGAAGUUUUCAAACUGUGAUUUUUAUCAGUUAAUUUUAACACAUAUUUUCAUAAUACCUAAAUAUAUUCAAAUAAGAUAAAUAGAACUAUGAUGAGAAGUUAAUAAUUACAAUCACAAUUAUUGAAUAUGAGGAAAAUUUACUCUUAUAUAAGUUUUACAAUUCUAAUUACAAACUAUAAGAAAUUAUCUAAAAAUAAAAAUGGUGAUCAAACUGUGCUAAUUUUCAUCAUAUGUGUCUAUUUAAAUUAACUUUUUAAAACAUUAUCAGGAAUUUAAAUUUUUCAAGUUUGAUUUCUAAGUAUUUCUGCAAAUCUGAUAGGUGAAAAGGGGGAAUUCAUUUUUAAUGUAUCAUUUAUGUUUCAGAUUUAACUUUUUUCAAAAUUAACCAUUUGGUAAUAAAGAUUGACAUAAUUGAAUGAUUUUUGUCUGUUUGUGGCCAUUCAUAACACUUCAUUUAUUAGUCAUUCGUUUAUAUGUUUUUCCACUUACUCAUGAUGCUUUAUUUCCCAAUGGAUUUAGGUGUCUCAGGAAAUACAAACACUAAGUACAGUUUGAAAAAAAAUAAGAAAGGUACAGUUAAUAUUAUGUAACACAUUCUAGAUUUUAGACUCUUCCUUUCUCUUUAAGUUUAACCUUUAGAGCCAGAAAAAAUGAAUAAAUUUAGAAAUAAUCCACAAUAGAGAAAAUAGGAUCCAUUGGCUACAUAUAUUAUUGACUCUAAUUUUAAAGGCUAAACAGUAACUCUCUGUAGUAAUUUUGCUAUAAUCAGAGUGAUUUAGUCACUGUUCAAGGGAUACAGGUGAAACCAAUGAUGUUGAAAAAAAGACAUUAUAGAAAAGUGAUGAAUAAUAAAAUGAAAAACAAGAUAAUGCCAACUAAAUAAGGAAACUAAAAGAGGAAAUGUGGAGUAGUUGUACCUGUGAACGUUAAUUUGUCAGCUAUACCUAUAAGCAUGCUGUUACCUUUCUAGAUUCCUUCCUUAUGCAAACUAUGUGGUUUAUAUCAUGAUGAUACUAUAUGUCAUCAGCUGCAUCACUCUUCCAAGUGAGACCUGGUAAAAGAACUAAAAGCUAAUUUUAUGAAAAUAAAAUGGAGAAGUGAGUCUCAUAUAUUUCACUAUGUAGUUAAGUUAAUAUCAUUUUAAGGUUCUAAAUUAGCCAAAGCUCUAGUAAAAGGAUUAGUAAAUAUACUACCUCAGGCUACAGCUGGAAAUAAAGUUUUAUUUAAACAGUUAUGACAUGCUACACAAGGCUGGGCAAUGCUGGUGGAUACCUUUAACUCCAGCAUCUGGGAGGUAGAGGCAGGUGGAUCUCUGUAAGUUUGAGGCCAGUUUGGUCUACAGAACUAGUUCCAGGACAGCCAAGGAUAUACAAAGAAAUACUGUCUUAGAAAAAUUUAAAUAAUAUAAUGGAAUAACAUAGUCCACAAUGCCUUUCACUGCUUUCCCACUACAACAGAAGCUAGUUUCAAUGCAACAGUAAGUAUAAAACCUUUACAACCUAAAAUAUUAAAAUUGAAUUUGCUGUAGGUUUAUUAAGGAUGAUUAGAAGUUCAAAGUCAUUCACAGCUCACAGUGAGUUUGAGCCUAUCGUGAGAUACAGGAGAACCAGUCUCAAAUGUGUAUUUACUUAAAUCUUUUUAGUUUCUGGUCUAUCUUAAGAAAUUGUUGAGCAUAAUUUAAUGUAAUUAAAACUGUGCUUUAAUAUGUUAAAGUAUAAAAGGUAUGGAUAGCAAGUUUGAUUGAUAUUUUUGGUUGUGAGCUAGCCUUUAACGGCUGAGCCAUCUCUCCAGCCCACAAGUUUGAUUUAAAUAUUCCAACAUAUUAAUAGUGUGUUUUAAUGCCUGCUGGCAAGUGAUAAUGUCCCAUAAUCCUCAAGCUUUAUUCUAAGUCAUUAUCACACAGACUAGUGUGGUCAAUAUCAGCUAACCUGAGAGGAAUGACUUUACAUUUCUUUUUUGAUUGUUUUGUUUAACUUUUAUUUUUAUUCUUUGAGAAUGUAGUAUAAUUACAGCAUUUAUCUCAUCAUUUCAGAAAUCUUUCCCUAUACUUCCCUUGCUCAUUUUAAUAUUCAUGACCUCUUUUGCCAUUUAUGUUGUUAUAUACACACACACAAUGCUCUUAAAUAUAUAAUUUUUGUUUUAAUUUUUGUUUGUUUAGUUGGGUUUUGUUUUUUGUUUGUUUAUUUGGUUUGGUUUAACUUUUUGGUUUUUUUCAAGACAGGUUUCUGUUGGGUAGCCCUGGCUGUCCUGGAAAUCACAUUGUAGACUAAGCUGGCCUUGAACUCAGAGAUUUGCCUGCCACUGAAUAGAGUGCUGGGAUAAAAGGAAUGUGUCAUAACCACCAGGCUCAAUUAUUUUUUUUUUAUAUCAGUGUCACAGGGUACACAGAAGACAGACAGACAUAUUUUACAGGAUAAAUUCUAAAAGAUUAUAGUGGCUAUAAGAAGACUAAUAUAGGCUAUUUCUAGUAACUGAACACAUUUUUCUCCACAAUUGCUUGUUUGACUCAAAUACUAAUUACUUGAAAUACAUUUCUGAAUUUAUUCUAAAAUGAUUGUAAUACAAUUGCUACAUUUUAUACAUAAUGUACAUUAACCCCCCCUUCCCACAUGAUUAUAAUAGGAGCAGACAAGUAGUGGUGUUAUAACAGACAUGACAAAACACCUUAAAUUAAAAAAUGCUAACAGCUAGAUAUAGUGUUUAUGUAAGAGAACUCAUAUCAAAUGUCUAUUGCAUGAAUCACAUAUUUCAUAUCCAUUUAAAACAAUCUGUUCUAAACCAAAAAUGCAUUUCUAUCAUUAAUUCUUCCCAAUUUUAGCCUAUUUCUCCUAAUAGUCAUUAAUUCAUAUUAUAAUUCAUGUAAUAUUUUAAUUAAUAGCAAAACAAAAUUAGGCAUUCAAAAAAUGGAAUGAUUUUUUUUGUACUAAAUUUUCAAAAUAAGGCCUAACAAAACCAAUUUCCUGUCAAAGGAGCUCAUUUUAAACUAACCAUGAAGGAAAUACAAAAGCAACUAAAACUAAUUAAUGUAUCUUCAUGGUUAAAUAAUAACUCAAUUUUAUUCAAACUUCAUACUCUUAUCAUCUGAAACUUUCUUAUGAUUAUCUGCCAUGCUAACUACUCAAACAUAUAAAUUAGUUUUCCACAAAAUCCACAUACACAUGGAUUCAUUUCCAAGGGUUUGAGGUUAUAUCAAAUACACAGAACCUCAUCACCCAAAAGAUAGGAAGAAGAAAAUCGCAUGAAGAAACCAGAUGUGAGUGGUAUUUUGCAAUAGCAAAGAUACUAGGAAAUCUCAAGUUGGAAGAAAAUGUCAUGAUUUAGAAUAAUUAUUCAAAUAUUCUCAGAGUUUCAAUCAAUAUCAUAUGAGUUUUAAAAGCAGACAUUCUCACUAAAGUGAUACACAAACGCUAACCAUAAUCCUGUAUUCACCUUUCAAUAAUGAAAUGCAAAAUCAUUAGAGUAAAAGAGAGAAGGUUGUGGUCUUUGCUUGUAAUUCUAGUAUUUGGAAGCAUAGUAGGUUUGAUGUCAACUUGAUAUACACAGAAAGUUCCAAACCAGCAAGGAAUGAAAGCAAAGAUUAUUGCACAAUUCUAUGUGACAAAGUAAGAAGAAAAUAUAAAAUUUCAAAUCCUCAAAUGUACAGGCACAAUACUGGAAGAUUUCCAGCUAGGGACUAUAACAGUAUCUUCCUUUUGGGAGAAUAUUCAAUAACUUUCUUGUAUAUACUAUAAACAUUACUGCUGUUGAUUGUUUUGGACAUACUCUAAGUCUAUGUUCAAUGUAAGUGGUAAUUAUCAGUGUUCCUUCCUAUUUUUGUUUACUUUAGAUUUAAUCACCUUAAUUAAUCUUUGAGAGCCAAAGAAUGAUAAUGACAUGCCCACAUCUGGAAGCCAUCCAAAUACAAACAUUAAAACUUCUAAUCUAUUUUUUCAAACAUCAGAUUAUUUGUCCAUCUCACUUUCAAAGAUGAUAUCAGUGGAAAUAUUAGAGACUUGUUGUUUAAAAUACACAAAAUAAAUAUUUAAAAUUCAGAAAAAUUGGAACAAUUCUGCAUAUCUUCUGUGACUUUAAUCCAAUAAGACUUAAAAUCAGCAAAAAUUAUAGAAACUUAUGGACAUAAAAAAAAUUACUGAAUGAUGACUGGUUCAAAGAAAUCAAAGAAACGAUUUUAAAAUAGGAAGUAAAUUAAUAAUAAAACAACACAACAAAAGCUCUGGGACAUAUUAAAGGCAUUACUAAGAUGUAAAUUCAUAGUUCUGAAACCUACAUUAAAAAUUAGAAAAAGAAGCAAAGGCAGGUAGACGUCUGUAAGUUCAAGGGUAAUCAGCUUCACACAGUGAGUUCCAGAGAGCCAGGAAUACAUAGUAAGAUCUACUGUCAAUAAUAUAAAAUAUAGCAAAACCAAAAAAUGAGAAAUAGGACAAAAAGAUGACUUAAGGAUAUAGUUCAAGAAUUUGGAAAAACAAGAACUAACCAAACAUAAAUCCAGUAGACUAUAAGAAAUAAUAAAAAUAAGAGCAGAAAAUUAUUAAAUGGAAUAAAAGUAUAAGGACCGAAUGAAUCUAUGAGCUGAUUCCCUGAAAAGAUGAACAAAUUUGAUGGACUCUUGGCCCAAUUAAUCAAAAUAAGGGAAGAGAUGACCCAAGUAACUAAAAUCAGAGAUGAACAGGGCAACAUAACAAACACCAAAAAAUUAGAAUACUAUGAGAAUACGUUAAAACAUAUUCUCUAUUAUAUUAGAAAAUCUAACACAGCUGGGUGGAUUUCUAGAGUUCUCCAAACCACCAAAGUUUAACCAAGAAUAGAUCAAUAGGUUAAGGAACUCAAAAUGUGCAAAUAGAUAAAAACGUAAUGGCCACGCAAUGGGCACACAAGCCUUUAAUAUCACCACUACAGAGGCAAAGUCAGAUGGAUCUCUGUGAGUUCCAGCUAGCCUGGUAUAAAAGUGAAGAUCCAGGACAACCAAGGCUACACAAAGAAACCUUGUCUCAAAACCAAAAACACAACACUACAAAACAAAAAUCCAAAACAAAUAAUAAAAGAUCAAAGAAACGUAGCAAAAAGCAUUCUAAUAUUGAAAAAAAUGGCCCAUCUAAGUAUGAUGAUGCAUGCCUCUAACUCCAACACAGUAGAAGUAGAGAAAGGUUUGUGGAACUCUGUCAGUGCAAGGGCAACCUGAUUUACACAGGGAGCACUAAGACAGCCAAGGUUACAUAGGUUACUAUAUUUAUUUUUGUUGCUUUUUGUUUCAGUUUGUUUAGUCAUUUUUCUCUUAUUAUUUCUUGUUUGUUUUGAUUUUUUGGUUUGGCUUUUGUAUUUGAGAGAAAGGACAUGAAGUUGGGUAGAGAGGGAGGAUCUGGAAGAAUUUGGAGGAAGGGAAAAAUACCAUCAAGAUAUAUUACACAAAAAUAAAACAAAAAAUAAGAAAGUCUCAGGCUCAAAUUCAUUCAUAAAAAAAAUUCUACUGGACUUUCAGAGAAGAUAUGCCAUCAAAUUUUCUUAGAGUCUUCAAAAUUAGGAACACAAAAUUAGGAAAAUUUAAAAGGAGUAUUUAAAUUGAUAUUGCAGAAGUUUGAUUAUAAAGAGAUUUACAUAAUUGCCAAUCAACUUUCUAUGUAAUGUUUACUUAGAAAGAAUAAAGUUAACAUUGUAGAAAGAUGUCAGUCCCAAUUAAACUAAAUGAAUAUCCAUAUUGCAAUGAUAAACAUGUUUUUAUUUGGCAUGAUUUAUUGAAGGCAUCACACAUUUAUUUUGGGUAUUCCUGCCACAAAUACAUGUUCUCAGAUAUUUCACAAGGAAUAAAAUCAAAAGCUGAAGAAUCUCAAAACCUGAAAGGUGCUAUUUCUCAAGAACACCAAUACUAUCUAGGACAAAGAUUGACUAAUGGAUUCUGAUUAAACAAUAUAAAGACAUGUGGCUUCUGUAAGUAAAGUUAUUUUCACAGAAUGGAAAAAGAAAGAAAAAGCAACUAUUGACAUGUAAAUAUAUACAAUGUAUAAGACAUGCUUUUAUACAGGUGAUGAUGCAGCUGAUAUUCUUAAUUUCUUUCCUUUUAUUGAAAAUAGAUUUCUCACAUACUAAGUAUGAUUUUUACCUCCCUCUACUUUUUCCAGAUCUUCUCCACAUGCCUUCCUAUACAGAAUCACCCUUUUUGUCUCUCAUUAGAAAACAAACAUGCUUCUAAGGAAUAAUAAUACAAUGGUUAAUAUAAUAUGAUACAAUAUUAUAAAGCAGAAAUUAAAAUAUCAGAGUAAGAAAGGUUUUUAAAUUUUAAGCCAGGCUUAAAGGAACAUACAUAUACUUUUAUAAUGUAGAUGCAAGAAAAUAUUAAGCAAUUUGAACAUCAUAUCUGCAACUAAUGUAUAGUUCAGAAAACAAAGUGACAUGUAUAAACAGAAAUAAGAUGGGAGGGAAGGGAGGGAAAGAGGAAAUGGAAUGAUGAGUGAGAGGGAUACAGAGAGUAAGACUAGAUAAAGAGCAGAUGGCUCUAAAAUUUUAUAAAAAUUAAAGAGAAAGAAAAGGCUUAUUUCCACAGUAUGAACUCAAGGAAUUUAUGAGGAAGUGCAAAAUUUGGAAACAGUGGUUGCUACAUCUAGAAAAUUAUUUAAUUUUUUAACAUUUUGGCCACAACAUUUAAAUUAGGCUUAAGUUUUAAAAUUACUAUGUCACCUAUUAGAUUGACUAUUAUUUAAAUAUUUUGAAACAGAGUAAACACAAAUCAAUGAAAAUUAGCACUGUCAUUACACCACAGCUCUGGUUUAGCCCAGAGAGCAUUUAAGAGCAAUUUCACAAUAUUGACAAAAAACACAGAAGACGAUAUAAUAUUAUCAUACCUAGAAAACUAUUAUUGAAGUAGGAACCCAAAUAUAUUUUCAUAGUUUUAUCAUUAUACACCACAUCAUCAACAACAUCACAUGUAGGAGCACAGCAUUUUUUUAUAAACUUAAACUGCUGCUUUGGAAAUACUUCCAUGAUAUAUUAUAUAGAAAAUUUAAAAGCAUUAAUACAAAUAUCAUACAUCUACAAACUCCAUAUCCACUUAUGUCCACAUAAGAAAGUUACUGACAACAACAUAUAUCAUGAAUGGUUAACUCAUCACAGCUGCGUAAUGGGGAUAGAAGAUUCAGAAUGAAUGACGAAAGAAUGGUUUAAUCAUUGUUGAUGGCAUAUUUCAACAUACUAAAGCAUCUAACCUUAAAAAUUGCUAAAACAAAAAAGAAACAUGUUAAGGUCCAAGUAUCAAAAGGCUUAAAUAUUUCUUUCAGUGACAAAUACAACUAUACAUAUAGACAUGUAGAGCAGUGCUUCUCAACCUUCCCUCAGGCUGUUUUUGUUGCUACAUCGUGAUUGUAUUUUGGCUACUGUUAUGAGUUGUCAUGUAAAUACCUGGUUUAGAAUAGUCUGAGGUGACCCCUGUGAAAGGGUUGUUGGACCCCAAAGGGGUCACAACAGGUUGAGAAGCACCGAUAUAAAGAAUUCGGAAACUACUACAAGCAAAGACAUACUUGUGUAUCUUCUGUUUCAAAACAGAUCAAAUCCUCUGGAUGGAAAUGGAACUACACAGUAGGCUAAGGGUUCAAAAAAUCAUCUGCUAGAGUUCAAACCAGGCCCCAAAUCUGGUCAUUGUAAUGAUUUUACUGGCAUACAGUUUAACCAUCAGCCCUUGGUACUUUUGUACUGCAAGAACAGAUUCCUGGUUGCAACAACAUGAUCUGGAAAUCUGGAGCCUUACAGAGAAUGUUUUGUGACACCCUAACACAAACUGACAGGUUCUUGUAUUAUCCUGUGUUUUAUGCACUGCCACUGUGUCAGAUUAGACUCAAAAUGAAUCUGAACUCAUAAAAUGCUAAUAUAAGAGAUGAACUGAAAUACAUUAACUUAACUUUGCUAUUAAAAAAGGAACUCCACUGCAUAUAAAUUUAAAUGGGUAUCAAAAAAGAACACAGGUCACUCCUUAGAAUCCAGCUGAAAUGCCAUAAUAACAUAAUAACUAAGGAGACAUGGGUUGUACUAAAAAUUUAUGAGAUUAAAAAAUGCAUUAUGUCUUCUGUUCUCUGCUAUAUUCUGUACCACUUGGGUUCCACGGUCCAACUGGGGUUGCCAGCCUUAGAUAAAAAUCAGCAUUUUCCCCUGAGCUACUUUACUGUAUUAAACAAUUAUUAAACAAUGUAUUAAACAAUGUAUUGGUAAAUGACACAAAAGAAAGGAAUCAAUAAAUAAUCUUAAAAUAUUUGGGGCUUGAGUGAUCAUGGCUCACCUCUAACUCCAGCUCCAGAGAAUCUGGCUUUCAUUUCUCUCCUCUACAGAAAACUAAUAUGAACAUAAUCCCAUAAUGACAUACAUGCACAGAUACUUUAAAAACUCUUAGCAAUUGUAUUUACUCUUGACAAUUAUUAAAACAGUUUGAGAAAAGCAGAUAGUAAUUUCCUAAUGAACAUUAUGGUCUAGAAACAGACAACUAAUAUUUACAACAAAUAAUACUUUAUAUUGAUUUCACCUAGUUUAAGAAGUAACAAGUAAAAAUCAACACACUGUGUAAUAAACUCAAAUCUCUUUCAUACAGUGAGUUGUUACUUUCACCUGAAAUGACAUAGGUGAUACCAAUAAAAUGAUGAUGCCACACAGUCUAUAACACAUAAUCCUUAUGGCUCUCCUUACCAAUUCAAGGACAACAUUUCUCAACAUACUCAUAAUUGCAAUGGCACUGAAGUCUGCAGUUGGGGUGCUGAAGAAGAGGCAAGCCACAGAGAUGCAUACUCUUGCCUCAGACAUAGGCCAGCAAAGUCAGUAAACAGCAACCAGUGCAUCACCUCACAAAUGAUAACAAAAAUGGUAUACAGGGAAACUUAAUUAUUCAGAAAAACGUUGUUAUCUUCCAAAGUAUCAUAAAAUAUCUGUGUCCCAUUAAGUGUACUACACAAACACAAAAGUCUCUUCCAUUUAAAAAGUAAAAUAUGAAUAAGAGAAUAGGUAACACACAAUAUCAGAGCACAAGAUAUACUGAAAGAAGUAAUGAAUGUUCCAGUCAAUUACUUGCCAAAAGCAGAUCAUUUUUAUUUCAUUGACGUCUUCUGUACAAGUUAUGAGAUGAAAAGAGUAGAGUAAGACUCCAGUAGCAAUAAAUGCAAUAACUGUAUUUGGGAGAUACUGUAGAUGAAACCUCUUCAGAAGGUAUAUUUAGUAUAUUUGUCAAGAUGGCCACCGCCUGCAAGAGUACAGAAACAUAGAUUAUAAUUGGAAAAAAUAAGCUGUAAUCUGGUUUCCAAUAUAUAGAAAUCAUCCUCAAGAUUU
rnacentral:lncRNA from 1 species